GCAUCAAGAAGUUGUUGACAAAAUUUAGUUCAGCUGCUAUAGACCAAGUGAUUGCGAUGAAUAUGGUAUUUGUCCAACAGGUUGGCGAUGCGAACAAUCAACUAAUUUCUGUCGUUGUUAAUUUUUUUGAAUGGCUCUAUCAAAAUGUAGCAGAAUGAAAUAAAUACUGAGCUAUUA